AAUCGAAAUCGGAGCUGUUCGGUCGGGUUCCCUACCCUGCAAACCAAACCGCAGUAGUUUAGGGGAAAUUACAACCACCAACAAAGUCUAUACUUUGUAGGUGUAUGUGUUUCCUUAUUUACCAAAAUCUCACCCCUCAAAAUUUUGUAGUUUUGUUUCUCCUGAAAAAAAAAACUCUUUGGUAAAUAAACUCUAUGGUAAUGGAGGAAAAGAGCGCGAUGUAUGCAAUGCAGAAAGUUUUGUCUCUUUUGUAAUGGCGGCGUGCCAUUGAUUUGACUUUUCCUGCAUUUUAUAUUUUCUAGUGAAACCUUGAUAGCCACAGCAACAUAUUAGUUAAGAAAAAAAACAUUUAUGUGCUCCAUUUGAUAGAUAAAUAGAACAAUUUAACUUAAAAAAAUAAAUAAUCUUUUCAGUGUUAUUUGUGAAAACUAUUUUGUAAAAAAACAAUCUACCGCACAAAUUCUUUGGCACGCCACAUAAAUUCCACCACCAUUUCCACCAUCAAAAUGCACAGCCUCAGCCUUGUGCAUUUAGAAAAAAAAUCAUACAAAAAUGACACAAAAACCACCACCAAUUGAUUUGGAAAAUAAAGUGGAGAUCAAUUCCAGACAUCAAUGACUGAGUUUACAGUUCAAAAGGUUCCUCCACGCUAUCCAGAACGAGUGAAAUGAAUCUUAUGUUUAAUAGAGACUUCAAUACUUGAGUGUGAUCCACAUUCCACAGGCUUGUAGUGGGUGCACCCUCCGAUGUUGAUGUGUUCGCUCUAAUCCUAGACAAAAACAACAUUCAACAAUUCUAUAUCGGGUAUAAAAAUGACGUCAGAGACUCCUUGCUCGCCACAGUAUUGGAUACAGUCCCUUCGAGUGACAAUCAAGAUGUGCACGUUCGUAUUACAAACACAUUGCGAGGCAUGCAUUUUGUUCCCCUCAACAGUUGUGUGGAUAGAUAUGAUUUUAGAGAAUUUCAACGCCAACAUUUCUCUGAGUGGUCUUAAGUAAAGUGUCACAUAAGACGUAUGUUUUGAUAUUAUAUAAUUCGACUGAAUAAAUCUAAAUCUCUAACCAAAGUUUCAACUUCAGAGUUUAUUUGUAAUUUCAUGUGUAAUUUCAAAAGGUUUAGAUUCACAAGGAACUAACUACUUCUUUUACGUACAAAUUUCACCACAUAAUUACGUACUUCCAGAUUCG